rnacentral:misc_RNA from 1 species
GUGAAUCAUCGAAUUUUUGAACGCAAAUUGCACUCUCCUCGGAGAGUAUGCCUGUUUGAGGGUCAGCCUAUAAAAAUCGACAUAGCUGCUGUUUCGCGGUGGCGUUCGUCGGUUAGUCGGUCAUCUUAAAUCCUUUUUAUUUAAGCGACUUACAUUUUUAUUUUGUUUCCAUGUCUGUUUCUAAGAUUUAUUUCUUUACACGUUUAAGGUGUC